rnacentral:ncRNA from 1 species
AUCGUUCAUCUCUUGAAGACUGUGAGACCACAUUGGAUUUGUAGUAACACCUAAGCACUACUACAAACCAAUGACAAAAUAACGCUUUUGAUGACAGCGAGGAAGGAAAUCAGCUUAAGAGACGGAAGUAGGGAGAAAUCCUGAAGGAACGCGCC